rnacentral:lncRNA from 1 species
GCAGAUCUAAACAGGCGAUUGCUUACAAGAAAUAUGGCAACAGAGAAUGCAACCACCGCUGUAAAAAUAAAGAUGUGUGUGGGCAUGACUGCUAUGCAGAUGUUAAAUCAAGCUGAAAAUGUGGAUCUCAAACAAUUUGUUUUUACACCUAAGUCUUUAUUGCCAGCCUUGCCAAGGUAUUACUAAGAAUUGUUUUGUGUAUAAAUUUAUUUUACAACUUUCUGCAAUUGUUUUGCAGACUUGUCAGUGAUUUACUUUUUUUAAUAGGUCUAACAACAAACUGUCAUCUUUACCACCUUCAGUGGACCAGGCAGAUAAUAUUAAUACCUUAGAAGUAUCUCAGAAACAGCUGCAAUCCUGGAAUUGUGGAAAGAGUAAUGCUUUGAAUGUGGACUUUGAACUGAGAGAUGAUAUUUGGGAUGAUAUUGAUGAUGAGAAAUUGGUAUUUGCCAGUAAUUUUGUCAGUAGAGAAUUAGAACAUGGAAAUAUCUGUCUUCAAAGUCCAGAUGAAUGUCAACCCCUCUGCCGGUAUACAUCAAGCAAUGCCACAAAUAACAUUUCAAAAGAGUAAGACU